rnacentral:misc_RNA from 1 species
GAUGAAGAAACGUAGCGAAAUGCGAUAAGUAAUGUGAAUUGCAGAACUCAGUGAAUCAUCGAAUCUUUGAACGCACAUUGCGCCCCCUGGUAUUCCGGGGGGCAUGCCUGUCCGAGCGUCAUUACAACCCUCAAGCUCAGCUUGGUGUUGGGCCCCGCCGCCCCGGCGGGCCCUAAAGUCAGUGGCGGUGCCGUCCGGCUCCGAGCGUAGUAAUUCUUCUCGCUCUGGAGGUCCGGUCGUGUGCUCGCCAGCAACCCCCAAUUUUUUUCAGGUUGACCUCGGAUCAGGUAGGGAUACCCGCUGAACUUAAGCAUAUCAAUAAGCGGAGGA